rnacentral:lncRNA from 1 species
AUGGGGACGGGGACGGGGACGGGGACGGGGAUGGGAUGGGGAUGGGGAUGGGGACAGGAUGGGGACGGAGAUGGGGAUGGGGAUGGUGGAAGAGCCGCGGGGGCACCGGGCCGGGGCCGUUCCGUUCCGUUCCGUUCCGCAGCCGCCCGGGGUUCGUUGUGCCCGGGGGCGGUGCCGGCCGAGGCGGGGCGGCCCCGCUUUCGCUUUCGUUUCCCGGUGGCUGCCGUGGGGCCCGAGCCGGGCCGUAGGUUACCGGGACCGAGCUGCGCGGAGCUGCGCGGAGCUGGGGCGGCGGCACCGGGGGUCGGGAGGAAAGGAACGGGCACGACCGGCCCCGGGGGCUCGGGCAGCGGCGGAACGGACCCGGGGGGAGAGGAGAGGCUCCGAGGGGUGCCCGGUACCCGGUGCCGCCUCGCCGGGGGCAUGGCAGGCCACACGGUGGAGGUGCGGGGCAUCCCCACCGACCUGCCCCCCGACAGGGUGGCCGACAAGCUCACCAUCCACUUCUUGCGCUCCCGGAACGGCGGCGGGGAGAUCGCCGAUGUCCAGGUGCUGCCGGGGGCACGGGCGUGUGCCCUCAUCACCUUCGAGGCUCUGGCAGUGGCCCAGAGGAUCCUGAAGACGAAGAAUCACGUCCUGUCCAUCGGGGGGAAGAAAUAUCCCCUGGAGGUGACGGCGCACGUGGUGGAGCUGAGCCCCGACGAGAUCUUUGUAUGCGCUUCCAUGGUGGUUGACUACGGCAAGCUGCCCGCUGGCAAAACCCUCCUGAAGAACCUGCAGAAAGGCCACAGCAGCGUGCAGCUCGACUUUGACCACAAGAACACGCGUUGCAGAGUCGAGGGACCAUUCACCGAGGUUCAGGCCUUCAGCAGAGACCUGCUGGGCAGCCUGAACCUCAAGAGCCAAGCAGCUGGAGCUACCCUGCCUCCGGGAUCCAGCCACGUGGCCAAAGACACCAAAAUGCACGAUCACCAGCAAGUGCCUCCCUCCACUGGGUCAGCACUGAAGACCACAGCGCUGUCACGCUGGGACUACGGGAGCGAAGGGGCAGCUGGAGGCCCGUCACCUCGAGGCCCAGUGGAUGGGGAAGCUGUGGGACAGCUGGAGGACUUUUCCCUCGUGAUGGACUCGGACAUUUACUUGUACAUGCAGAGGCUCUGUGCUGCCGAGUACCAAGGUGUGCUGCAGCAGCACUUCGUGGAUGUGGUGGACAUCAGCAACGAUGAUAUCACCAUACUGUACCUCCAGCCGUCCCCGGGGACGUCUGGGGACACGGACGCCUUGCGACAGGCUCACCUGGCCCUGCAGCAGCUCUACCAGCAACUGGAACUGAGCUUGCGUAAGGAGAAGAUCUCGAAGCGGGGACUGGAUAUGGACAGCCAGGCACUUGGGGCUCUGACACGUGAGCUGCAGGAGGUGUUCCCCUUGUUGCUUUGCCACGAGGAUGGGAAGCAGCUUUACCUCAUUGGAAACCUUGUUGAUGUCUCGCAGGCCAAGCAGUACAUCCAGCACUUCAGUGCCAGAAGCACCCCGCAGACGGUUGUCAUGCUCAGCAGCUCCCAGCCCUCCCGGCCAGCAGUGUCCCACGCCACAGAGGCUGCAGGACACAAGCCCAAAGCUCCUGUGGACACCUCGUCCCCAAAGCUGAGCCCAGGCAGGCCAGAAGGGAAAGCUGAGCACAAGCUAGCUGCCAACUUCAGCGCUCUGAAAACUGGCAGGUCUCAGGCUGGCCAGGGCCUCUUGCCGAGCCGGGACUCUCCUCCAGGGACGCAGGUGCAGCUUUCUGAGAAAAACUCACCCGAGACGCAUGCUCUGGGUCCCGGUGACCCCAAAACACCAACCCAGCUGUACCAGCCUCAUGUCUCCGCACUGGUUUUGGGGUCAGCAGCGGCAGAGUCUCAGCAGAAUGACCCCAAAGAACAGGACCGUGUGAAAGGAGGUGCCAGGCUUGCAAGACACAAGAGUCUGUCUGCCUUUGUGGGCAAAGAAAACAGCGCUUUGCAGCACCCUGGGGACUCCAAAGGCUCCGAUCCCACCAAGCACUGUUCCCUUGCUGACACCUCUAGUACCUUUCGGUCUCUGAGCCUCUUUGACACCACAAGGAGCUCUUCUGCUUUCGACUCCAAACCCUCUGAAUCCAGACCUGUGCUGCGACGCUCCAACAGCUUCUCGCUGCCAAAGCCAAAGGAAAGCAACAAGCCCCAAGACACCGUCAGGGCAGGCAGUGGAGGCAAUAGGGUGAGUGAAGAAAUGAGCCUGGACUCUCUGCAGUGGUCUUACCUGAAGGACGUGAACUGCUCUGCUAUCGAGGAGUUGUGCAGGAGUGCAGGUGUGCAGAUCUCCGAACGCUCUACCGGGGACUGCACGGUGCUGUCGUUGCAGGCAGAGGACAGGGCCAAGCUUCUCCAGGUGAAAUGGAAAGUGGAAACUCUUGUGCAGAGGUGUCCCGACCUUGUGUGUCAGAUCAUGAGCUACUCCGAGCUUGCUGUCGAAGGGCCGGAUGACGAUGCCCUGAGUGAGCUGUGCAGCCUCUUGCGAGGCAGUUCCCUGCAGGUUGGGCUCAACAAAGACAAGUACAAGCUCUGUCUCGCCUGCCCCAAGGAGAUGCUGCCAGGAGUGACUGAGGCCUUCCAGGUGUUUUCUUCCAGGAGGCUCCGUGCUCUGAAGUCUUCAUCCUUAUCUCCAGGAGCAGAGAGAGCUUCGAGCCCGGGGCACCCUGGUGCUGUCCAGCCCAGCAGAAGCCAGGACACCGUGCUGGGGGCAGCCCUUCCCUGA